GACGAACGCUGGCGGCGUGCUUAACACAUGCAAGUCGAGCGGUAAGGCCCUUUCGGGGGUACGACGAGCGGCGAACGGGUGAGUAACACGUGGGUGACCUGCCCUCAGCUCUGGGAUAAGCCUGGGAAACCGGGUCUAAUACUGGAUAUGACUCCAUGACACAUGUUGUGGGGUGGAAAGCCUUGUGCGGCUGAGGAUGGGCCCGCGGCCUAUCAGCUUGUUGGUGGGGUGANGGCCUACCAAGACGACGACGGGUAGCCGGCCUGAGAGGCGACCGGCCACACUGGGACUGAGACACGGCCCAGACUCCUACGGGAGGCAGCAGUGGGGAAUCUUGCGCAAUGGGCGAAAGCCUGACGCAGCGACGCCGCGUGAGGGAUGACGGCC
rnacentral:rRNA from 1 species